rnacentral:rRNA from 1 species
AAUGGGUCAGCGACUUAUAUUCUGUAGCAAGGUUAACCGAAUAGGGGAGCCGAAGGGAAACCGAGUCUUAACUGGGCGUUAAGUUGCAGGGUAUAGACCCGAAACCCGGUGAUCUAGCCAUGGGCAGGUUGAAGGUUGGGUAACACUAACUGGAGGACCGAACCGACUAAUGUUGAAAAAUUAGCGGAUGACUUGUGGCUGGGGGUGAAAGGCCAAUCAAACCGGGAGAUAGCUGGUUCUCCCCGAAAGCUAUUUAGGUAGCGCCUCGUGAAUUCAUCUCCGGGGGUAGAGCACUGUUUCGGCAAGGGGGUCAUCCCGACUUACCAACCCGAUGCAAACUGCGAAUACCGGAGAAUGUUAUCACGGGAGACACACGGCGGGUGCUAACGUCCGUCGUGAAGAGGGAAACAACCCAGACCGCCAGCUAAGGUCCCAAAGUCAUGGUUAAGUGGGAAACGAUGUGGGAAGGCCCAGACAGCCAGGAUGUUGGCUUAGAAGCAGCCAUCAUUUAAAGAAAGCGUAAUAGCUCACUGGUCGAGUCGGCCUGCGCGGAAGAUGUAACGGGGCUAAACCAUGCACCGAAGCUGCGGCAGCGACGCUUAUGCGUUGUUGGGUAGGGGAGCGUUCUGUAAGCCUGUGAAGGUGUGCUGUGAGGCAUGCUGGAGGUAUCAGAAGUGCGAAUGCUGACAUAAGUAACGAUAAAGCGGGUGAAAAGCCCGCUCGCCGGAAGACCAAGGGUUCCUGUCCAACGUUAAUCGGGGCAGGGUGAGUCGACCCCUAAGGCGAGGCCGAAAGGCGUAGUCGAUGGGAAACAGGUUAAUAUUCCUGUACUUGGUGUUACUGCGAAGGGGGGACGGAGAAGGCUAUGUUGGCCGGGCGACGGUUGUCCCGGUUUAAGCGUGUAGGCUGGUUUUCCAGGCAAAUCCGGAAAAUCAAGGCUGAGGCGUGAUGACGAGGCACUACGGUGCUGAAGCAACAAAUGCCCUGCUUCCAGGAAAAGCCUCUAAGCAUCAGGUAACAUCAAAUCGUACCCCAAACCGACACAGGUGGUCAGGUAGAGAAUACCAAGGCGCUUGAGAGAACUCGGGUGAAGGAACUAGGCAAAAUGGUGCCGUAACUUCGGGAGAAGGCACGCUGAUAUGUAGGUGAAGUCCCUUGCGGAUGGAGCUGAAAUCAGUCGAAGAUACCAGCUGGCUGCAACUGUUUAUUAAAAACACAGCACUGUGCAAACACGAAAGUGGACGUAUACGGUGUGACGCCUGCCCGGUGCCGGAAGGUUAAUUGAUGGGGUCAGCGCAAGCGAAGCUCUUGAUCGAAGCCCCGGUAAACGGCGGCCGUAACUAUAACGGUCCUAAGGUAGCGAAAUUCCUUGUCGGGUAAGUUCCGACCUGCACGAAUGGCGUAAUGAUGGCCAGGCUGUCUCCACCCGAGACUCAGUGAAAUUGAACUCGCUGUGAAGAUGCAGUGUACCCGCGGCAAGACGGAAAGACCCCGUGAACCUUUACUAUAGCUUGACACUGAACAUUGAGCCUUGAUGUGUAGGAUAGGUGGGAGGCUUAGAAGUGUGGACGCCAGUCUGCAUGGAGCCGACCUUGAAAUACCACCCUUUAAUGUUUGAUGUUCUAACGUUGACCCGUAAUCCGGGUUGCGGACAGUGUCUGGUGGGUAGUUUGACUGGGGCGGUCUCCUCCUAAAGAGUAACGGAGGAGCACGAAGGUUGGCUAAUCCUGGUCGGACAUCAGGAGGUUAGUGCAAUGGCAUAAGCCAGCUUGACUGCGAGCGUGACGGCGCGAGCAGGUGCGAAAGCAGGUCAUAGUGAUCCGGUGGUUCUGAAUGGAAGGGCCAUCGCUCAACGGAUAAAAGGUACUCCGGGGAUAACAGGCUGAUACCGCCCAAGAGUUCAUAUCGACGGCGGUGUUUGGCACCUCGAUGUCGGCUCAUCACAUCCUGGGGCUGAAGUAGGUCCCAAGGGUAUGGCUGUUCGCCAUUUAAAGUGGUACGCGAGCUGGGUUUAGAACGUCGUGAGACAGUUCGGUCCCUAUCUGCCGUGGGCGCUGGAGAACUGAGGGGGGCUGCUCCUAGUACGAGAGGACCGGAGUGGACGCAUCACUGGUGUUCGGGUUGUCAUGCCAAUGGCACUGCCCGGUAGCUAAAUGCGGAAGAGAUAAGUGCUGAAAGCAUCUAAGCACGAAACUUGCC